rnacentral:tRNA from 1 species
GUCUCGGUAGUGUGAGGGAUAAAGAGCACGGUGCCCGGAAUGCACAAGUACGGGUUCGAGUCCCGUCCGAGGCC